UACGUAGGGUGCGAGCGUUGUCCGGAAUUAUUGGGCGUAAAGGGCUCGUAGGCGGUCUGUCGCGUCGGGCGUGAAAACUCAGGGCUUAACCCUGAGCCUGCUUCCGAUACGGGCAGACUAGAGGUAUGCAGGGGAGAACGGAAUUCCUGGUGUAGCGGUGAAAUGCGCAGAUAUCAGGAGGAACACCGGUGGCGAAGGCGGGUCUCUGGGCCGAUACUGACGCUGAGGAGCGAAAGCGUGGGGAGCGAACAGG
rnacentral:rRNA from 1 species